GACGGAGGAGGCAAGCGUUAUCCGGAAUGAUUGGGCGUAAAGCGUCCGCAGGUGGCAGUUCAAGUCUGCUGUCAAAGACCGGGGCUUAACUUCGGAAAGGCAGUGGAAACUGAACAGCUAGAGUAUGGUAGGGGCAGAGGGAAUUCCUGGUGUAGCGGUGAAAUGCGUAGAGAUCAGGAAGAACAUCGGUGGCGAAGGCGCUCUGCUGGACCAUAACUGACACUCAGGGACGAAAGCUAGGGGAGCGAAUGGG
rnacentral:rRNA from 1 species